ACGGGAUUUCUUACGUUGUCCAUUCCACCCACCCGCUGCCGCCGCUGAGACCACUUCCACAUCUUCCAAAUCAAAUCCAUUAGCCUCGGCCUCCACCACUUCCUCUUCCGUCGUAAUCAACUCCACCGCCACCACUUCGAAAUCCCUAACGGACGAGCAGAACAUCGACAACCUCGUUCUUCCCAGACAGGAAGUGAUCCGGAGACUUCGGUUUCUGAAACAGCCCAUAACGUUGUUCGGGGAAGAUGAUGAUGCUCGGCUCGACCGUCUGAAGUUUGUGCUGAAAGCGGGGCUUUUCGAGGUGGAUAGUGAUUUGACCGAGGGG
rnacentral:misc_RNA from 1 species